rnacentral:rRNA from 1 species
UACGUAGGGUGCGAGCGUUAAUCGGAAUUACUGGGCGUAAAGCGUGCGUAGGCGGUCCGCGAAGUCUGAUGUGAAAGCCCCGGGCUCAACCUGGGAACUGCAUCUGUGACUGCAUAGCUAGAGUACGGUAGAGGGGGAUGGAAUUCCGCGUGUAGCAGUGAAAUGCGUAGAUAUGCGGAGGAACACCGAUGGCGAAGGCAAUCCCCUGGACCUGUACUGACGCUCAUGCACGAAAGCGUGGGGAGCAAACAGG